GCUCUGCUGUGUGUGUACUGAACACUGUAUAGCAGUAGAUGACUGUGUACUAAUAGCCCUGUGCUCAUACAGUCAGGCAUCAUCAGUUAACCCUUUCCCGGCUUUGGACGACAUAUGUCGUCCAGCGGACGGAGAUUUUUCAAAAAUUUGCUGUGCACACUGUGUUGGAGCUAUGCACACGCUGUAGGUACCAGCACAUGCGCAUUGAGCUGCUCUUUCACGUGGUAUUUUCAACAUCUUGCUUUGAGGUACGCUUUGUGCAGUACGGUCGAAAGAAAAGUGACCGUUUGAUGAUGACUUCAAGAUCUUUGUUGUACAACCUCAGUGGGGUUCUAGAGCUGCUAGACAGUGAGAAUAUCGAUGCUUAUGGCCUUGUAGAGUGAGAGGACAGUGGCUGGGAUCGUAGCUAGGUAGGAAGCUACCUCAAGCUAAAAGAUAAAGAGUCUGAGGAGCCUGAAGGAGCUGGACCAAGUUUCUGGGUCUUGUGAAGAAUGUUUCCCGGGAAAAGGGCGUCUGCUGAUACGACCUCGCAGAGAAGUUUCGGCAGAUCCUGAUCGAACUAUGUCACCGUGAGAACAUUGAGAACACUUACUUAGUGUCUAUAGUCACUUUGUGCCUUCGUAUAAUAUUGUUUGUGUACAUAAUUGUGAAUGUUUGUAAACAAUC